rnacentral:misc_RNA from 1 species
CAGAAACCCAAACCUAACUUCUGGAAGAUUUCGUCUUGAUACUGUCACAUGUUCUCUAGACAUUGGGGGAAACGCUACCAUUGACGAGUAUGACGACGGUGAUACUCGGAAUGAUACGGGAGAAGACGGUAGUGAUGAGGAAGAGGAGGACGGCGGCGUUGAGACUGAGAUUGAAAAAAUGGGGAAGAAUCGUCGGAGGAUUCGAUCUAAGAUAGUUGUGAAGGCCAGCUUGCAGAGUGUUUGGGAAGUCCUUACUGAUUAUGAAAGAUUAGCUGAUUUCAUCCCUGGUCUUGCUGUCUGCCAGUUGCUUGAGAAGGAACCCAAUUUUGCCCGACUUCUUCAGAUUGGCGAGCAAAACUUAGCGUUCGGGCUCAAAUUUAAUGCUAAAGGUGUCAUUGACUGUUAUGAGAAAGAUCUAGAAGAUCUCCCUACUGGUCAG